rnacentral:lncRNA from 1 species
UAUAUCUUUCUCUUUUUAUAAACCCUUUCUUACUUUACAUAGGGAUAUAUGAUGAGCAUAGUUAAUAUUGGUGAAAAGUAGAUUGAUUUUUAGAACUUACUUUCUAUUGAGAAAGAUUAUAAAGAUAUGAGAACUAGUGCACCUUGACUGAGAAACAAAGAAACUCUUUGAGAAAGUAGCUCAACCAGUUUUAUGAGAAUAAAUUUAGGAAUUAAUUAAAACAGCUUUAUAAGACACAGUUUUAGAAUAAUGUUAGAAAUAUUAUUUUAUUUAGAUUCUUAAGUUUAGAAAUUCUUAAGUUUUUAGUUGUAUAGGCUUCUGAUAUGUUUUAAGAAUGAUUCAUAAACUUUAGUAUAUUUUAAAUAUAAGAUUUAAAGGGACUUUUCUUAGAUGGGAAUUUUAGAUUAGAAAUAAAGUACAGGUGUAGUUUAGGUUAAUGAUUGGUUAAGAGACUUAGAGUCUGGUUGCGUAGUUUGGCAUUAGUUAAUAAGAAAAUAGCAUAUCUUGGGAAAAAUAGUAAAUCUUGGGAAAAUCUGAAAAAUGUAAAUUAGUGACGUAUUUUAUUAAUGAUUCUGUACUUUUAAUAAUUAUAUAACUGAAGGACAUAUCCUGGAAAAAUGUAAAUUAAUGUUACAUUUUUUGUACCCCCAAUCAUGGUUAAGGAAAUGUCAUGUCUUGGCAAAGUUUUAAAUUAUAUAAUCAAUGACGUAUUCUGAAUCUAUAAUGAUGAGAAAAAUUGUAAUAAAAGAUGACCCAGAGAAAGCUGCAUUAGCUCUCUCUCUGGAGAUUGCUCGAACGGAACGACUCCUGUCUCAUCUUUCCAUCGACGCCACUCAUCCUUCAGGACUCCCUGGACCCCGCUAGGGCAGGACCCCGGCAAUUGGUGCCCGAACCAGGUAACUGAAGGUAAGCCCCCUCGGCAUUUGCCCCCUUGUUUUCGGAGUGGAUAGGCCAUUACCCAUGGGUUUCGCGAGCCCCCUGUUGGCAGAACAGGUAAGAGUGGGUAAUUAGGUAAAGGAAAAAUGGGAAAUACAGAAUCUAAGGAACGAGGAUUAUUCAUUGAUAUUGUUAAACAUAUGCUUAGGAAAAAAAUGGAAUUCAUGUUUCCACUUCACAAUUACAGAGGUUUUUUUCAUUUUAUUCAGGAAUGUUGUCCUUGGUUCCCAGAAGAGGGAACCUUAGAUUUAAAAACAUGGGUAAAAAUAAUAGAAGCUUUAAGAGCAUAUUACUCUAACUAUGGACCAGAAAAUAUGCCUGUAGAUGCUAUAGCAUUAUGAAAUCUUUUAAAAGAUAUGUUAGAUCCAGCUCAAGAAGCUGAAAUCUUAAAUAGGAUUAACUCAACUGCCCCUACUGAAGAAACUCCCCUAAGGAAGGACUCUAGGAGCGAAACUUUUGUCCUAAAAAAAGAUGAGGAGAAGGAUCCGUCUUGUUUAGAAAAUAAAGAUAAUUUAAAAGAAGCAGCUACUGAAUAUCAUAAUGAAGAAUUCUUUGCCCCUAUAAGUACACAUUCUUGUGGAUCUUCUACCAAAAAUAAAUUGGGUUCCAAAAUAAAAAAUACCUUACCACCUCCUCCACGAAAUGUAGGAUUUAAAGGAGCUAUGAAAGAGGCUCUACAGUCUGGAGAUUUAAGUUUUACUCUCCCUAUCACUUUUGAUUUAAAUGAUGAAAACUAUAUGCCUCAAUGGGAGCCCGUUUCCUUUAAAAUUUUUAAAAGAAUUAAAACAGUCUGUUCAUGAUUAUGGGCCCACUUCUCCUUAUACUUUACAGAUAGUAGAAAUUAUUGCCACUAGAUGGAUGAUUCCAUAUGAUUGGUUUGCUACUGCAAAAUCUUGUCUCCCUGGAGGGACAUUCUUAUUAUGGAAAACAGAUUAUGAAGAUAGAGCUAAAGAAAGCUCUCAAUAUAAGAAAUCUAUAAAUAGUGAAGUCACUUUUGAUAUGUUAAUGGGAGAAAAUGACUGGGCUCAGCCAAGUGAUCAAUUACAUCUGCCUCAUCCUGCCUUGAUCCAGUGCUCAGAUUUAUCAGUUAAUGCUUGGAGACAAUUGGAAAAUAAAGGAGUUAAAACUUCUGGCUUAAGUACUAUAAAACAAAAGCCUAAAGAACCUUUUGAGGAAUUUUUGUCUCGAUUAAAAGAAUCAGUGGAAAAAAUUAUAACUAAUAAUGAAACUGCACAAAUUAUAAUUAAACAAUUAGCUUUUUAAAAUGCAAAUACUGCAUGUCAGACACUCCUAAGACCUAUUAGAAAGACAGGAAAUUUAUCUGAUUUUGUUAAGGUUUGUGCUGAUGUAUCACCCUCAUAUUUGCAAGGUGUAGCCAUAGCUGCAGCAUUACGGGGACAAACAAAUGCUCAGUUUCUUAAAAGGCUUCAAAACAGAGAACAAAAUAAAGGAAAUCAAAGCUGUUUUUCUUGUGGACAGACAGGUCAUUUUAGUGAAGUUUGUCCUAAUAAAAACUUUCAAAAUAAAGGAAACAUAGUUCCUAAUCAGAUAUGUAGACCCCAAAAUUUAUACCCACGUUGUAAUAAGGGAUUUAACUGGGCAAAAGACUGUCGCUCUAAAUUUCAUAAAGAUGGGCGACUUUUAGAAGGUGGACCAAUGCCUCAAAAAUUUCCACAAAUGACUGCCAAUCCAUUACCGGGAAACUGGUAAUGGGGCCCUCCUCGGGCCCCUUAAAUAAUGGAGGUCAUCAACAAUCUUUUUCAACAGGAUAUACUAUAAGGGCUUUAUUAAGAGCCACACCAGAUUCAGCAGGAUUAGAUUUGGCAUCUUCAGAAUCAGUAGUUAUUCCCUCAGACUCUUCUGUUCUAGCUAUACCUACUAAAAUUUAUGGACCUUUACCUAAAGGAACUUUUGGUCUUAUUCUAGGAAGAAGCUCUGCUUCCCUAUAGGGAAUCAAAGUUAUUCCUGGAGUUGUUGAUUCUGAUUUUACUGGAGAAAUUAAGAUUUUAAUAGAACCCUCAUCUCAGAAGACUUUGAUUAUUCAUAAAGGGCAAAGAAUUGCUCAAAUCUUGCUACUCCCCUAUUUAUCUAUCGGAAACCGAGCUAUUUCAAAUGAACAAAGACAAAAAAAAGGAUUUGGCUCUAGUGAUAUGGCAUUCUGGGUUCAAAAAUUCAAAAUUCUCAUCCUAUGAAAAAACUAGAGAUUCAGGGAAAAAUAAUUGAUGGUUUAUUAGAUACAGGAGCAGAUGUCACUUGUAUAGCUGGAAAAGAUUGGCCUUCAACCUGGCCUACAACAGUAACUCCCUCAACACUUAUGGGACUUGGAACUGCUACUAAUGUAGCAAAAAGCACUCAAAUACUUAAAUGGGCUGAUGAUAAAAAUUCAGGAACUUUUCAGCCAUAUGUUAUUCCUUCUCUUCCUUUUACUUUAUGGGGCCGAGAUAUAAUGUUUAAAAUGGGAGUUUCUCUCUGUACUGCUCUUGUAGAAGAGGCUCAACAGGAUUUUUAAUUGGGGCCAUUGUUGAAACAGCAGAUAAAAUGACUUGGAAAAAUGAUGAGCCUGUAUGGAUAGAACAAUGGCCCUUAACAACAGAAAAAUUACAGGCUGCAGACUUGUUGGUUAAGGAACAACUUAAUUUAAAACACAUAGAACCUUCUAAUAGUCCAUGGAAUACUCCUAUAUUUGUUAUUAAAAAGAAAUGAGGUAAAUGGAGAUUAUUACAAGACUUAAGAGCUAUAAAUGCUACCAUGGAGGAUAUGGGUUCCUUACAACCAGGACUCUCCUCUCCAGUAGCUGUCCCUAAAGGAUUUCAUGUUAUGGUAAUAGACUUACAAUAUUGCUUUUUUACUAUUCCAUUGCAUCCUGAUGAUCGUAAAAGGUUUGCUUUUAGCCUUCCUUCUGUGAAUUUAAAACGGCCAUAUCAACGUUUUCAAUGGAAGGUGUUGCCUCAAGGUAUGAAAAAUAGUCCUACUCUCU